UGGGGAAUAGCUCGGUGGUAGAGCACAUGCAUAGCAUGCAGGAGGUCCUGGGUUCAGUCCCUAGUGCCUCCA
rnacentral:tRNA from 1 species